rnacentral:miRNA from 1 species
UUUCGGGAGCCAAGGUCGGAGAUGUCCAUCUCGCUGCUAUGGCCCUCUCCCA